CCCUUAGAUGUUCUGGGCCGCACGCGCGCUACACUGACUGGUGCAACAAGUGUCUGACCUUGGCUCGAGAGGCCUGGGCAACCUUUGAACGCCAGUCGUGCUGGGGAUAGAUUCUUGCAAUUAUUAAUCUUCAACGAGGAAUUCCUAGUAAACGCAAGUCAUCAGCUUGCAUUGAUUACGUCCCUGCCCUUUGUACACACCGCCCGUCGCACCUACCGAUUGAAUGGUCCGGUGAAGCGUUCGGACCGUGGCCUUUGGACGGUUCGCCGUCUGUUGGCUGCGGGAAGUUCGUUAAACCUUAUCAUUUAGAGGAAGGAGAANUCGUANCA
rnacentral:rRNA from 1 species